rnacentral:tRNA from 1 species
GCGCCACUAGCUCAGUUGGUAGAGCAGCUGACUCUUAAUCAGCGGGUCCUGGGUUCGAGUCCCCGGUGGCGCACCA